AUGAACGCUGGCGGCGUGCCUAAUACAUGCAAGUCGAGCGAACAGAUGAGGAGCUUGCUCCUCUGACGUUAGCGGCGGACGGGUGAGUAACACGUGGAUAACCUACCUAUAAGUCUGGGAUAACUUCGGGAAACCGGAGCUAAUACCGGAUAAUAUAUUGAACCGCAUGGUUCAAUAGUGAAAGACGGUUUUGCUGUCACUUAUAGAUGGAUCCGCGCCGCAUUAGCUAGUUGGUAAGGUAACGGCUUACCAAGGCAACGAUGCGUAGCCGACCUGAGAGGGUGAUCGGCCACACUGGAACUGAGACACGGUCCAGACUCCUACGGGAGGCAGCAGUAGGGAAUCUUCCGCAAUGGGCGAAAGCCUGACGGAGCAACGCCGCGUGAGUGAUGAAGGUCUUCGGAUCGUAAAACUCUGUUAUUAGGGAAGAACAAAUGUGUAAGUAACUAUGCACGUCUUGACGGUACCUAAUCAGAAAGCCACGGCUAACUACGUG
rnacentral:rRNA from 1 species